UACGUAGGGUGCAAGCGUUAAUCGGAAUUACUGGGCGUAAAGCGUGCGCAGGCGGUUUUGUAAGUCUGUUGUGAAAUCCCCGGGCUUAACCUGGGAAUUGCGAUGGAGACUGCAAGGCUAGAAUCUGGCAGAGGGGGGUAGAAUUCCACGUGUAGCAGUGAAAUGCGUAGAGAUGUGGAGGAACACCGAUGGCGAAGGCAGCCCCCUGGGUCAAGAUUGACGCUCAUGCACGAAAGCGUGGGGAGCAAACAGG
rnacentral:rRNA from 1 species